ACAGUCUAGCACCACCAACACCACCAAGCGGCAAGAGCGGAGAGCGCGUGACACUAACAGCAACAGCGGGAGGGGGAAGCGAGAGCUAGGGAUAACCCACACCCACUACCACCAUGGCGUGUGUGUGUGUGUGUGUGUGUGUGUGUGUGGUGUUUCCAAAAAUAGAAGGCAAACUAACCUGUGAAUCAUGUUGGUUAAAGCCAC
rnacentral:lncRNA from 1 species